AUGACAUGGAAAUUUUGCAGGGCAAGCAAGACUUCACGACGUUGACGUUCCAAGGCCUUGUUCCAAUCGACCAAUGUUCCGACAGAAGCAGCAGGUUGUUUUUCAGGAGGUAACUGUCUGUACAAAGAAAUCCAAGAGGCAGUGACGGAGGGAGCUAUACAAACCAUGCAUCUCCAAGCAUCAUAGAAGAGUCGAGAGUUAUCGAUUGUAGAACGAAUCGCUUUAUCUAAUUUGUGGAUCUGAUCACUCCACU